UGCCUCUCUCCCAUAGAGCUGUGGGAGGUCCCUUUUCUCCUCAGCCAGGACUAGAGGCCAUGAUCACCCCUUGAGGAUCGUUGUCAGGGUUGCCACGAGCUGGGCAGCCUUGUUUUCCUACCUCAGACAUUU
ensembl:scaRNA small Cajal body-specific RNA 20